CAGAGAGUGCAAACGUUGUUCGGAAUCACUGGGCUUAAAGCGCACGUAGGCGGCACCGUAAGUGUCGGGUGAAAUCCCACGGCUCACCCGUGGAACUGCCCGGCAGACUGUGGUGCUCGAGUGUGGUAGGGGAGAGCGGAACUCCUGGUGGAGCGGUGAAAUGCGUAGAUAUCAGGAGGAACACCGGUGGCGAAGGCGGCUCUCUGGUCCACAACUGACGCUGAGGUGCGAAAGCUAGGGGAGCAAACGGGAUUAGAUACCCCGGUAGUCCUAGCUGUAAACGAUGGGCACUAGCUUGGGGUCUCCCUGUGUGAUCCCAGGUGAAGCAAAAGUGAUAAGUGCCCCGCCUGGGGAGUAUGGUCGCAAGGCUG
rnacentral:rRNA from 1 species